rnacentral:rRNA from 1 species
UGGGGAAUCUUGGGCAAUGGGGGAAACCCUGACCCAGCCACGCCGCGUGCAGGAAGACACCCCUACGGGGCGUAAACUGCUUUUAUAUGGGAAGAAGGCUCUACUCUGUAGGGUUUGACGGUACCAUAGGAAUAAGCACCGGCUAACUCCGUGCCAGCAGCCGCGGUAAUACGGAGGGUGCAAGCGUUGUCCGGAAUCACUGGGUGUAAAGGGUGUGUAGGUGGGACAGUAAGUCAGGGGUGAAAGCCCACGGCCUAACCGUGGAAUUGCCUUUGAUACUGCUGUUCUUGAGUCCCGGAGAGGUUGUUGGAAUUCGUGGUGUAGCGGUGAAAUGCGUAGAUAUCACGAGGAACACCAGAGGCGUAGGCGAACAACUGGACGGGUACUGACACUGAGGCACGAAAGCGUGGGGAGCAAACAGGAUUAGAUACCCCCGUAGUCC